AAGGUGGCUUUUGGGCUGUCGCAGAUGGAUGAGCCUGCGUUGGAUUAGCUAGUUGGUGGGGUAAGGGCCUACCAAGGCUACGAUCCAUAGCUGAUUUGAGAGGAUGAUCAGCCACAUUGGGACUGAGACACGGCCCAAACUCCUACGGGAGGCAGCAGUGAGGAAUAUUGGACAAUGGGGGCAACCCUGAUCCAGCAAUGCCAUGUGUGUGAAGAAGGCCUUAGGGUUGUAAAGCACUUUAGUUGGGGAAGAAAGCUUUGAGGUUAAUAGCCUUGAGGAAAAGGACGUUACCCAAAGAAUAAGCACCGGCUAACUCCGUGCCAGCAGCCGCGGUAAUACGGGGGGUGCAAGCGUUAAUCGGAAUUACUGGGCGUAAAGGGUCUGUAGGUGGUUUGUUAAGUCAGAUGUGAAAGCCUAGGGCUCAACCUUGGAACUGCAUUUGAUACUGGUAAACUAGAGUACGGUAGAGGAAUGGGGAAUUUCUGGUGUAGCGGUGAAAUGCGUAGAGAUCAGAAGGAACACCAAUGGCGAAGGCAACAUUCUGGACCGAUACUGACACUGAGGGACGAAAGCGUGGGGAUCAAACAGGAUUAGAUACCCUGGUAGUCCACGCUGUAAACGAUGAGUACUAGCUGUUGGAGUCGGUGUAAAGGCUCUAGUGGCGCAGCUAACGCGAUAAGUACUCCGCCUGGGGACUACGGCCGCAAGGCUAAAACUCAAAGGAAUUGACGGGGACCCGCACAAGCGGUGGAGCAUGUAGUUUAAUUCGAUGCAACGCGAAGAACCUUACCUGGUCUUGACAUCCUGCGAUCUUUCUAGAGAUAGAUUGGUGCCUUCGGGAACGCAGUGACAGGUGCUGCACGGCUGUCGUCAGCUCGUGUUGUGAAAUGUUGGGUUAAGUCCCGCAACGAGCGCAACCCCUAUUGAUAGUUACCAUCAUUAAGUUGGGUACUCUAUUAAGACUGCCGCUGAC
rnacentral:rRNA from 1 species